rnacentral:rRNA from 1 species
UACGGAGGGUGCAAGCGUUGUCCGGAUUCAUUGUGUUUAAAGGGUGCGUAGGCGGCCUGGUAAGUCAGCGGUGAAAUACCCAUGCUCAACGUGGGAACUGCCGUUGAUACUGCCGGGCUUGAGUUCGUCCGAGGUCGCUGGAAUGCGUGGUGUAGCGGUGAAAUGCAUAGAUAUCACGCAGAACACCGAUUGCGAAGGCAGGUGACUGGGACGCGACUGACGCUGAGGCACGAAAGUGUGGGGAGCAAACAGG